rnacentral:rRNA from 1 species
AACGCUAGCUACAGGCUUAACACAUGCAAGUCGAGGGGUAGCACGGAAGAAGCUUGCUUCUUUGGGUGACGACCGGCGCACGGGUGAGUAACGCGUAUCCGACCUGCCCAUGACUCGGGCACAGCCGCUCGAAAGAGCGAUUGAUUCCCGAUAUGUCUAUGAAGUAGAUUCCUGGAUGAAAAGAUUUAUCGGUCAUGGAUGGGGAUGCGUAGGAUUAGGUAGUAGGCGGGGUAACGGCCCACCUAGCCGACGAUCCUUAGGGGGUUCUGAGAGGAAGGUCCCCCACACUGGUACUGAGACACGGACCAGACUCCUACGGGAGGCAGCAGUGAGGAAUAUUGGUCAAUGGGCGGAAGCCUGAACCAGCCAAGUAGCGUGAAGGAUUACUGCCCUACGGGUUUUAAACUUCUUUUAUGCGAGAGUAAUGUGCGCUACGUGUAGCGUAUUGCAAGUAUCGCAUGAAUAAGCAUCGGCUAACUCCGUGCCAGCAGCCGCGGUAAUACGGAGGAUGCGAGCGUUAUCCGGAUUUAUUGGGUUUAAAGGGAGCGUAGACGGGAUGUUAAGUCAGCUGUGAAAGCCUGCGGCCCAACCGCAGAACUGCAGUUGAUACUGGCGUUCUUGAGUGCGUACGAGGUAUGUGGAAUUCGUGGUGUAGCGGUGAAAUGCUUAGAUAUCACGAAGAACUCCGAUUGCGAAGGCAGCGUACCAGUCCGUAACUGACGUUGAUGCUCGAAAGUGUGGGUAUCAAACAGGAUUAGAUACCCUGGUAGUCCACACGGUAAACGAUGGAUACUCGCUGUUGGCGAUAUAUUGUCAGCGGCCAAGUGAAAACGUUAAGUAUCCCACCUGGGGAGUACGCCGGCAACGGUGAAACUCAAAGGAAUUGACGGGGGCCCGCACAAGCGGAGGAACAUGUGGUUUAAUUCGAUGAUACGCGAGGAACCUUACCCAGGCUCGAACGGCAAGUUGAAUGUUACCAGAGAUGGUUUCAGUCUUCGGACAGUUUGUCGAGGUGCUGCAUGGUUGUCGUCAGCUCGUGCCGUGAGGUGUCGGCUUAAGUGC